UAAUCAGGAGGUCUAGAAGGAGUCAUAGUUCCACUAAUCAGGAGGUCUAGAAGGAGUCAUAGUUCCACUAAUCAGGAGGUCUAGAAGGAGUCAUAGUUCCAUUAAUCAGGAGGUCUAGAAGGAGUCAUAGUUCCACUAAUCAGGAGGUCUAGAAGGAGUCAUAGUUCCACUAAUCAGGAGGUCUAGAAGGAGUCAUAGUUCCACUAAUCAGGAGGUCUAGAAGGAGUCAUAGUUCCACUAAUCAGAGCUCCUAA